GCCGUGUUUGCUGAGCUGAUUUGACCGGUUGAUACAGAUAGCAGCGGCGAGCCUCCCUGCUUAUGUGGAAAAAGACUAUUUUAAGUGUCAUAAUUAAGUUUAGAAGCCUUGUUUGGGCUCAUUCACUGCUCGAAAUAAAAAGGAAUGGCUGCUUUUAGACCCUUUUUGAAGGGGUUGGCUAAGCGCCUCUGCACGUUCGCUUGGAAAAGAAUGUUUUCUUUUCUAGUUUAAUAUUAGAAACUAUAUUUUUACUUGUUUAAACCGGAUUUGAUUGUUCCUGUGGAGAUUUUUUCCCCCCUCCUAUCACUCAAAUCUUUGUUCAUUGUUCAUUGACUGUGGAAGGCUGCUUAAAUGUACGGAGAGAGGGGGGAGGCCCCCUUGCUGGUUUGAUGUUGAAAUAGUAAACCUGAAUGAGGAGGGUGGCUGGAAAAGUGGACAUUGCAGCUUUAAUUAACUUCAAGAUGCUUCAGCGAGGACCAGAGCGUAGUAGUGACGUUGCCUCAUAAAUCUGUCCAGUACAGUGCGUUGCAUUGAACUAUUACAGUAUCACCAUCAUAUUGAAUAUUCACUACCUAUCCGGGAGCAGAUUUGCAUAAUUGGAUCUUUUUUAAAUGAAACCUGUCUGCAAAAAACAAACAAAAGCAAAAAAACAAAAGCCCAAGUGAAAACCGCGGCGAUCUGCAUGAUUAUAAGGGUUCAAACAUAUCCGAAAAUUGAAGAAGUUCUCUAUAAUCCUUUCUCUGAGGUUCACAAGGGAGCUAAGUGAAUGGUCCACCUGCUUCCUCGUACAUUGACAGUGGGAUGUCAAGAAGCCAUUGGUCCUUAUUCAGUGCUCCUUAAACAGGUGCUCUCUAUUUUGCAACAGCAGGAAGGAACUAAAAUCUUGAGGAAUACAGGAGUUUUUCUGUGA
rnacentral:lncRNA from 1 species